rnacentral:rRNA from 1 species
GACGAACGCUGGCGGCGUGCUUAACACAUGCAAGUCGAACGGAAAGGCCUGCUUUCCCUUGUGGAUUGCGGGUACUCGAGUGGCGAACGGGUGAGUAACACGUGAGUGAUCUGCCCCCAACUUGGGUAUAAGCCUGGGAAACUGGGUCUAAUUCCCGAUAGGACUGCAGGGUGGUGCCUGUGGUGGAAAACGAUUUUCUAGUGGGUGGGGAUGAGCUCGCGGCCUAUCAGCUUGUUGGUGGGGUAAUGGCCUACCAAGGCGGCGACGGGUAGCCGGCCUGGGAGGGUGGACGGCCACAUUGGGACUGAGAUACGGCCCAGACUCCUACGGGAGGCAGCAGUGGGGAAUAUUGCACAAUGGGCGGAAGCCUGAUGCAGCGACGCCGCGUGGGGGAUGACGGCCUUCGGGUUGUAAACUCCUUUCGACCGCGAGGAAGCCACCUGGUUGGAAGGGUGGUGACGGUAGUGGUAGAAGAAGCACCGGCUAACUACGUG